UGAGCAAAUGUUAUAUCAAUGAACCAUUAUUCAUAAAACAUGAAUAAAUGUGGGCCGUCAAGGCCUCUAACAUACUAUACAAAAUGAACCUCCGUCUACAAAGCCUCUAAGAUUAUUCGACAUUAAAUGGGACAGGGUACCGGCCCACCCAUAAGUCUGUAGCAAAACUCUAACACGAUGACUCAUAGACUCGGCUGCACUCCGAAUAAGGUGGAGUCUUACCGAUCCUUCGUUGAAUGUUAACCUCGUCUACUAUAAGAGCUCGUCAAGUCGAUUACUUAUACUUGUAGGAAUGAAUGCAGCAUCCACAACAAAAGUACGUCAGUAAGAAUAAUGUACAAAGUAUGUAAGGCAUGUAAAUCAAUAUAUAAAGGAUAUGAAAGAACAUGGAGUACAUGAUUUAUCCGAUAAGUCUAGAUAACUUUGUAUAUCAUUUAAUACUUAUAGUGUCAUGCAUAUGUGUAUGAAUGUCGUGUCGUGCUUGUACNNNNNNNNNNNNNNNNNNNNNNNNNUAUAUAUAUAUAUAUAUAUAAUAUACAUAUAUACACGUAUAUAUCGCCAUCUAGUCACGGAUCAAUAUAAAUGAAUGCAAUGAAUGAGAUGUAUGUCAAUAAAAUCUAUCAGAAUAUCAUAAGACUAUUAUGCCUUUGAUUAAUAUCAUAAAGUAAACUUUUUCAACUUACGUAUUUUUCUGAGACCCAUGAACAGAUGAUAAAAUAAUAUGACAUAUGGGGAAUCAAGAACAUAAACAUCUUUAAUAUUUCUAUGAAUAGAGUCAUUUAUGGAAGUUGUACAUUUUCUCGUUUCGUUCAUGUCGUAUAAAUCAUGCCAAAAGAAAGAAGGGAUAGCCUUAACAUACCCGAACCGAUUCUCUUGACAAUCUCUCUAACGCACGUCAAUUGCGAUAAAAUAUGGAACAAGUCGUGUGAAAAGCUCAACGCAAUCACUUUUCUCAAAGAAAAUCUUGGCCGGAACCUUUCCAUCCCCAAAAUGAUGUUACUUAUGUGAUUCGAAUAAGAAACUCAUCAUGCAGUUGUUUUUGAUAUAUGUACAGAUGCAAGAGGUCUAUAUUCUUUCAUUCAAGUGUCCACCAAUUUCUUCUAUUAUUCUUAAUCUGACAAAUCUCACACUUCAAUGGAACUCUCCAAAUCACUUCAUCAUAAAAUUCUCCAAGUUCCUUGGCUCUUUUAUCACGGAUGGAUUCAGCAGAGAUACUCAGAGCAAGUUGUAUAACCAAUCUAAUCAAUCUUCCUUGGGUAAUAGUAUAAAAUCUAUAGAACAAUCAAGAAUUUUUUUUCUUUUCGAAGCAAUAAAUAAUUAUCAAAUAUAGAGCCUUUGUAUAUCAUGAGAAACUCAAAGUCGCAAUGAUUUUUUUUGAUAGAUUGAAACUGCACAUUUUAAUAUGCCAAACACUAUCCCUACAAAUGUUAUAAUGCAAGUUAAAAAAAAUUGUGAAGUACUGAUUUCUUAUAAAAACCUCACGUUGCCAUUCAAGUUCACAAGAUGUUUCUCUUUGACUUUGAGAUGUCUCUUUAAAUUUUGAGAAGUCACUUUUGAAAGAUAGC
rnacentral:lncRNA from 1 species